AAAAAUAUUGGAACAUGUGUUUCUUAUAUAAUAUAAUAUAAGACAGGUGUUUCUUGUUGCACAGGUGUGCCCUGUCAGAUUGACUGUUUCAACAAUAAAUAGGUCUGAAUGUUUAUUCUUGGUUUAAGCCCUGGGUUUCAUUUGUGAAGUCUGCAUUUAUUGUUAAUAAGGAUAAGCCAACAUGAAAAUCAGAGAGCUGUCAAUGGAAAAAGCAGGCCACAUUGAAGCUGAGAAUGAAGGAAAAUCGAUCACUGCACAAGCAUUGGGCAUAACCAGUACAACAAUUUGGAUUGUCCUAAAAAGAAACCACUGUUGUACCAGUCAGAUGUUGAACAGGUCGGCGAAGGAAAACAACAGCAGUUGAUUACAGAACAUUGUAAAACAUCAGUCAAGCAUGGUGGAGGCUAUCAUGUUGCUGCCUCAGAGUUACUACAGAAUUUUACAUGUUCUCCUUGUGCACACGUGAGUUUUCUCCUACUAUCUAAAAACAUGCAGUGUUACCCAGAUUACCCAGUCAGAAUCCACCAUGAC
ensembl:lncRNA